AUUGAACGCUGGCGGCAGGCCUAACACAUGCAAGUCGAGCGAGCGGCGGACGGGUGAGUAAUGUAUGGGGCCUGCCCGAUAGAGGGGGAUAAAUACAGGAAACGGAAGCUAAUACCGCAUACUCUCGGAUAACACAUAUGGGAUUAGCUAGUAGGUGAGGUAAUGGCUCACCUAGGCGACGCUCCCUAGCUGGUCUGUGAGGAUGAUCAGCAACAAUGGAAACGAGACAAGGGCCAGAGGCCUACGGAGGCAGCAGUGGGGAAUAGGUCACAAUGGGGGCAAGCCUGAUGCAGCGAUGCAGCGUGUGUGAAGAAGGCCUUAGGGUUGUAAAGAAAUGUCAGCGAGGAGGCGUUACCCACAGAAGAAGCACCGGCUAACUCCGUGCCAGCAGACGCGGUAAUAC
rnacentral:rRNA from 1 species